AAACACAUGAAGCACAACUGCAGUGGGUUAUAAAAAACGGCCUUUCGAGUUGAGCAAUAAAUUCGUUCAAGCAGCCAUUCUGAAGGACAAACUGGCUCUGUAUUUAAGAGGGGCAUUCCAGCACUUCUCUAGCCACUGGGUUGACAAUGACUCACCAAAGCCUCUGGUAGCCACCACAGGACACCCAGAGCAUAUGUUUUAAAGCUGAACACCAAACUGCGGACUUCGGGAGGUCAUCAGCCUUCAAGCUUCAGUCUCUGUGUGUUCACAGGUGCUGUAAACACACGCAUCACUACUAAUAUCCCACUUCAGUGCUAUUGCUGCUCCCAAAACUCCAGCUGGCACACUUUUUCCAGUAGCCAUUCUACUUGGUAUGCUUACUUAUCAGCUGUCCUCCAGGGGCCUCACAUUAGAUGUUUCUCUGACUAACCAAACAUGACACACAGCUGAAGUCAGAAAAACCAGAUUGAUAAUUUCACUCAAACUAUUUUCCUUCAUUCUAACAAUUUACUGGAGUACACAAUUGUGACUAUUUUUAGCCAUAGGAACUCAUAGAAAGACCAACUUCAUUAGACCUACAAAAUCGAAUUGUGUAACAGUAUAUGCAGUAUGUGUAGGAAUAAAAAGCAUUUCUCAAAUAUGCAGUACUGGAUUUUGCAAAAGCACCUUACACUUAGCUAUAAAGGAGUGGAAAACACAAAGAUGAGUAACUGCACCUUUCAAAAGACUAGAGCUAUACCAAUAAUACAAAGGUGUAAACAAAUAAUGAUGAGAUGACAAAGGCUGAGUGUUUUCUAUUUGGAAGCUAUGUUGUUGAGUUAUUUAUGUAUAUAAUUUCAUGCAAUCUUCAUGUUAUGGGGAUGUUCUAAUCCACUGUGACUCUGUCCUUAAAUAAAAGGGAGAUUUGGACAUAGAGAGAGGCACACGGGGAGGAUGCCAUAUGAGAAUUGACACUGUGCUGUCACAAGCCAAGGAACUACUGGAAGGAGAGAAAGA